AAGAGUCGUAUGAACAACUAGAGCUGCUAACUCAA
rnacentral:tRNA from 1 species